rnacentral:sRNA from 1 species
GAGAAUGUUUUCUAGGGUUCCGCAAUACAAAUUGGUCUGGUCCGAGAGAAAACUCACAGCCUGAGCUGUGCCACGGAAGGAUAAAAGCCUGGGAGAG